rnacentral:rRNA from 2 species
UACUGUAAGAAUAAGCACCGGCUAAUUCCGUGCCAGCAGCCGCGGUAAUACGGAAGGUGCAAGCGUUAUCCGGUUUUAUUGGGUUUAAAGGGUGCGUAGGCGGCUUAUUAAGUCAGUUGUGAAAUCCUAGUGCUUAACGCUAGAACUGCAAUUGAUACUAUUAGGCUUGAGUUAAGAAUAGGUAAGUAGAAUUUAUGGUGUAGUAGUGAAAUGCUUAGAUAUCAUAAGGAAUACCAAUAGCGUAGGCAGCUUACUGGUCUUUAACUGACGCUGAGGCACGAAAGCGUGGGGAGCAAACAGGAUUAGAUACCCUGGUAGUCCACGCCGUAAACGAUGAUCACUCGGUAUACAUAAAUUUAUGUGUGUCUAAGCGAAAGCGUUAAGUGAUCCAC